UUUUACAUUAAAAAUGACUCCGAUUUGUUUCCUUCACUCAACAUUUCCUUCAUUUUAAGAAAGAAUAGAGAAGCAGGCAGGUGGAGAGUGGAUAGAAUAUUAGACCUGGAGUCAGAAGAUUUGAGUUCUGAUCCUACUUCAAGUAUUUCUUGGUUGUGUGAACCUGGAGUUGAACAUUUUACAGAUGGCACAUGAGACA
rnacentral:lncRNA from 1 species